AGUAAAAGUCGUAACAAGGUUUCCGUAGGUGAACCUGCGGAAGGAUCAUUAUCGAAUUUGAAGGGGCUCGGGUUGUAGCUGGUCUCUCGGGACAGGUGCUCGCCCUUGCUCUCUUACACCCACACACCCUGUGCACUCUCGCGUGGGUCGCGUCGACUCUGUUCGGCGCGCUCGCGACUUUAUACAAACCCCCCUGUAUGUUUUAGAAUGUCUCUGCGUACCUACGCAACCUAGUACAACUUUCAACAACGGAUCUCUUGGCUCUCGCAUCGGUGAAGAACGCAGCGAAAUGCGAUAAGUAAUGUGAAUUGCAGAAUCCAGUGAAUCAUCGAAUCUUUGAACGCAACUUGCACCCCUUGGUAUUCCGAGGGGUACACCUGUUUGAGUGUCGUGAAUUUCUCAACUCUACCUCCUUUUUCGAGGAGUUGUAGGGCUUGGACUUGGAGGCUUUGCAGGCGGGGGUUAUCUCCGUCCGCUCCUCUUAAAUGCAUUAGUGACGUGCCCCCGGGUGGCUUGGACGUGAUAAUUGUCUACGUUCGUGGUUGC
rnacentral:rRNA from 1 species